rnacentral:lncRNA from 1 species
AUUACACAAAGAUCCCCACAUAUUGUGAUUUUGGGUAGAGCCUGUGUUUUAAACCAAGAAUUGUUGGAGUGUCCCUGUGAUCUAUUCAUACCUGUAAGUUGGGUGAAUUUUAUCAGUGCUAUUAACAGAAAUGAUUAUUUUAGGUCUUAGAGCAAAGUUUGAAUUUUGGCUUCAACCCAUCUGAAGAACUAAAUUACAGAUGACAGAGGACAAAAUUAGGUCCUGCCUUAUAUAUGUAUUUUUUGGACUGUUUCUACAUGACAAAUAUUUGUACUUAGGAUUUGUACCUAUUCAACCUAAGUUCAAUAGUUGAAAAUGUAAGAGAAUGAAGGGAAAUGUAUAAGUCAAUCCAAGUAGACUCAUUACCAGACUUUUACUAGAGUAAGUAACACUCUUACCCUGGUAGGUAGUAAAUAAAACAAGGUCUACUACUCUAGAUUUACUGUAGCAGAUAGAUGUGUGGCCAUUUGAAACCAGAGAUAUCUACAAUUUAAAAGGCCAGGAUUACAGCCUUCCACCCUCCCAUCUUGGUGAAGGAAGGAA